GACGAACGCUGGCGGCGUGCUUAACACAUGCAAGUCGAACGGAAAGGCCCUGCUUUUGUGGGGUGCUCGAAUGGCGAACGGGUGAGUAACACGUGAGUAACCUGCCCUUGACUUUGGGAUAACUUCAGGAAACUGGGGCUAAUACCGGAUAGGAGCUCCUGCUGCAUGGUGGGGGUUGGAAAGUUUCGGCGGUUGGGGAUGGACUCGCGGCUUAUCAGCUUGUUGGUGGGGUAGUGGCUUACCAAGGCUUUGACGGGUAGCCGGCCUGAGAGGGUGACCGGCCACAUUGGGACUGAGAUACGGCCCAGACUCCUACGGGAGGCAGCAGUGGGGAAUAUUGCACAAUGGGCGGAAGCCUGAUGCAGCAACGCCGCGUGCGGGAUGACGGCCUUCGGGUUGUAAACCGCUUUCGCCUGUGACGAAGCGUGAGUGACGGUAAUGGGUAAAGAAGCACCGGCUAACUACGUGCCAGCAGCCGCGGUGAUACGUAGGGUGCGAGCGUUGUCCGGAUUUAUUGGGCGUAAAGGGCUCGUAGGUGGUUGAUCGCGUCGGAAGUGUAAUCUUGGGGCUUAACCCUGAGCGUGCUUUCGAUACGGGUUGACUUGAGGAAGGUAGGGGAGAAUGGAAUUCCUGGUGGAGCGGUGGAAUGCGCAGAUAUCAGGAGGAACACCAGUGGCGAAGGCGGUUCUCUGGGCCUUUCCUGACGCUGAGGAGCGAAAGCGUGGGGAGCGAACAGGCUUAGAUAUCCUGGUAGUCCACGCUGUAAACGGUGGGUACUAGGUGUGGGGUCCAUUCCACGGGUUCCGUGCCGUAGCUAACGCUUUAAGUACCCCGCCUGGGGAGUACGGCCGCAAGGCUAAAACUCAAAGGAAUUGACGGGGCCCCGCACAAGCGGCGGAGCAUGCGGAUUAAUUCGAUGCAACGCGUAGAACCUUACCUGGGUUUGACAUGGAUCGGGAGUGCUCAGAGAUGGGUGUGCCUCUUUUGGGGUCGGUUCACAGGUGGUGCAUGGCUGUCGUCAGCUCGUGUCGUGAGAUGUUGGGUUAAGUCCCGCAACGAGCGCAACCCUUGUUCACUGUUGCCAGCACGUUAUGGUGGGGACUCAGUGGAGACCGCCGGGGUCAACUCGGAGGAAGGUGGGGAUGACGUCAAGUCAUCAUGCCCCUUAUGUCCAGGGCUUCACGCAUGCUACAAUGGCUGGUACAGAGAGUGGCGAGCCUGUGAGGGUGAGCGAAUCUCGGAAAGCCGGUCUCAGUUCGGAUUGGGGUCUGCAACUCGACCUCAUGAAGUCGGAGUCGCUAGUAAUCGCAGAUCAGCAACGCUGCGGUGAAUACGUUCCCGGGGCU
rnacentral:rRNA from 1 species